rnacentral:rRNA from 1 species
GACGAACGCUGGCGGCGUGCCUAAUACAUGCAAGUCGAGCGGACGAAUCGAAAGCUUGCUUUUGAUUCGUUAGCGGCGGACGGGUGAGUAACACGUGGGCAACCUGCCCUGUAGACGGGGAUAACACCGAGAAAUCGGUGCUAAUACCGGAUAACACGAAAUGUCGCAUGACGUUUCGUUGAAAGACGGCGCAAGCUGUCGCUACAGGAUGGGCCCGCGGCGCAUUAGCUAGUUGGUGAGGUAACGGCUCACCAAGGCGACGAUGCGUAGCCGACCUGAGAGGGUGAUCGGCCACACUGGGACUGAGACACGGCCCAGACUCCUACGGGAGGCAGCAGUAGGGAAUCUUCCGCAAUGGACGAAAGUCUGACGGAGCAACGCCGCGUGAGCGAAGAAGGCCUUCGGGUCGUAAAGCUCUGUUGUUAGGGAAGAACAAGUAACGCAGUAACUGGCGUUACCGUGACGGUACCUAACGAGAAAGCCACGGCUAACUACGUGCCAGCAGCCGCGGUAAUACGUAGGUGGCAAGCGUUGUCCGGAAUUAUUGGGCGUAAAGCGCGCGCAGGCGGUUCCUUAAGUCUGAUGUGAAAGCCCACGGCUCAACCGUGGAGGGUCAUUGGAAACUGGGGGACUUGAGUGCAGAAGAGGAGAGCGGAAUUCCACGUGUAGCGGUGAAAUGCGUAGAUAUGUGGAGGAACACCAGUGGCGAAGGCGACUCUCUGGUCUGUAACUGACGCUGAGGCUCGAAAGCGUGGGGAGCAAACAGG